GCUGCAAGUUACUACAAACUGGGUGGCUGGAAACAACAGGAAUUUCUUCUCUGACGGUUCUGGAGGCCAGAAGUCUGAAAUCAAGGCGUUGUCAAGGGGGCCGCCAUUCGAUCCACUACGUGAGGCAGUAAGAAGCAUAUUCCCGAAGGAAUUGUUGAAAUAUUGACGGACUUCAGAGCUCCGUGAGCUGGGCAGACUCACAUGGCUGGUGUCCAUGCUAUGAGGCGAGUGGGGCCCGCAUGCUCUAUGCCCUGGAAUGCCGCUCCACCCCCCUCAGUUACUCAUGGAAAUUAGAAGGAAUGGGCUUCGUUACACCAUUGUGAGUUUUUCAAAUGGGAUUCCACUUCAGUUACAUUAUGACAUGGAGGCAUUAUGAAAAGUUACUGACAGAAGGAACACACGUGUGAAGAAGGAUGCUCUGGAUGGAAUUUGAUUCUCUUCCAAUAUUUGAAUGUUGAACAUGGACCCUCUCAGUUCACCUGCCUAAUCAAUAAAUAUCUGUCCUGUGCAGCUGUGGAUUUCUGGCCAUAUGAGCCUCCAUUAGGAGAUGCCCUAUCCUAGUAGAAUGCUGGUAAUGAUUUCUCUCAUUCAGUCCUAAAAGUGGUGGAUUUCAUGCACAGAGAAGCUGCCGGGUGUUACUUAGGGCAUCUUUAUCGGUCAUAGAAGCACCUACUGCUGACUCAGUGGGCAGGCUGGUGGUCACGUGCCUUUGAUCAGCAAGAGGGUGUAACUCACACGAAGACAGAAUCCGGAGGGAGCAGGGAGAAUGGAGGUGUGGGUAGGAAGGUUCUGGGAUGGCUUGGGGUUGGCUCUAAGGAUUGGGCCAUGGAGGCAGCACCGAUGCCAGAAAGCUCCAAAGCCCGGCCUGAUGGAGGCAAAGAGAAGGAAUCGGCGCUCUGAACCUUCGAGAUCUAUAGACAUCAGGUCUCCUCUGGGAUCAAGGAUGCAGGAAAGUCUGAUGUAAUAAUAACAACCACCACCAUUUAUUGGGGCCUCUAUGUUCAGGAAUUUGCUAAACAUCUUAUAGUUUUAUUUCUUUUAAUCUUCACAGCAGCCCUGGGAGGUGGUAUCCUAGUCAGGGCUCUCUCAGUUACAAGAGACAAACUAGGUCAAGUUCAACACAGGGAGGACUGGACGUAUGUUGGGGUCACUUGAAGAACUGGAGGAAGAACCACAGAAACCAUGGCACCCCCAGGGGCCUGGGGACCAGAAACGAGAGCGGGUCACCAUCAGCACACGCCCCAUCUCUGCUCCCUCUAGACGUUGCCUUUUUUCUCUUUUACAGUGGAAAGCUCUUUUCAUACAACAAAACAGCAAGUGGCUUUGGCUUCCAUCAUGCAGUUUCUCCAGUUGUCCAUCUAGAAAAAAAUUCUGGAGAAUUUAGCCCUGCUUGCAUCUGGGGCCCAGUCCCGGGCCAGUUCCUCUGGGCAGAGGGGUGGCCUGUCUCGACCAUGUGCCCACUCAAUGAAAGUUGGGCCCAUUCGUGCAAGAAGGGAGGGAAGGUUCUGGAAAAAGCAAAGUAGUGGUAGGUAUUGCUCUCCCCUUGGACGGAUGGGGCAA